GCUUAAAAUUUGAAGUGCUGACUUCGAGGUACUACUUCAGUACGACUGAUGAGCACGCGAUGACAGACCAUGUGAAGCACAUCUGAAGUGAAUACAGGGAAGCAGCACCAAUCACCUGCAAUGUGACACACUGCUGAGAGGAAGUGAAAAUUGAAUGAAACCAGAAACGACACUAUUCACCCAGUAUAACGCUGCUGAUGUCACAGUAUUGAUGCAUGAGAACACAAACUUGCGGAGCUUCAGGUCCCCCAAAAUGAUGCCAACCUGGUGGCAGUGGUACACUGCAGAUACC